CCAGGAGUCCAGCAUAGCCCAACAAGGCCCACCCAGGCCCACUAUGACCCAACAAUGUCCCCCAAGGCCCAACAAGGUCCCCCAAGGCCCACUAUGACCCAACAAUGUCCCCCAAGGCCCAACAAGGUCCCCCCAGGCCCACUAUGACCCAAUAAGGUCCCCAAAGGCCCAACAAGGUCCUCCAAGGCCCACUAUGACCCAACAAGGUCCCCCCAGGCCCAACAAGGUCCCCCCAGGCCCACUAUGACCCAAUAAGGUCCCCAAAGGCCCAACAAGGUCCCCAAAGGCCCACUGUGACCCAACAAUGUCCACCAAGGCCCAACAAGGUCCUCCAAGGCCCACUAUGACCCAACAAGGUCCCCCAAGGCCCAACAAUGUCCCCCAAGGCCCACUAUGACCCAACAAUGUCCCCCAAGGCCCAACAAGGUCCCCUAAGGCCCACUAUGACCCAACAACGUCCACCCAGGCCCACUAUGACCCAACAAGGUCCCCCAAGGCCCAGCAAGGUCCUCCAAGGCCCACUAUGACCCAACAAGGUCCCCCAGGGCCCAACAUGGUCCCCCCAGGCCCACUAUGACCCAACAAGAUGCCCCAAGGCCCAACGGGGUCCCCCAAGGACCACUAUGACCCAACAAGGUCCCCCAAGGCCCAGUGAGGCCAUGCAGACCCUUCACCCAGUGCCACAGCUCUCACCCACCGCUGCAUCCUCUCAGAGCUGCUCAGAAUUACACUCGCAAGCAAUUUGACUUUUUAAUCAUUUCAAUUACUGUGACUAAAACCCUUCAAUCGGAACAAAACAAGGAAAAAUCACCCCUCUCUUUCUGAAGCAGUCUGCCUAGCUCAACAGACCAUACCGAAUUGUGAAGGUUUUCGCUUUUGUGGUCUUCACAUAUUUCAUUUAAUGCAGAUAAUUAACCUCAGUUUCUAAUUUCCAGUCCUCCACAAGGAAGUGAAGUGAUUGAAUACAUUCACUGACAGAUGGAAAAUUGAAAUAUUACUACAGCUUCUCCACGCGGCUCAAAAGGCAGGGCCUCGCUGCAGAUCUUUCUUCUUUUAUUUGACUGAUUAACUGUAAUUUGCUUAAUGGAUUUGAGGAUGAGCCUAAUAAUCCAAUGAUAUUUCCAGGAACUGAUUUAGGAUACGACUACCUCUGUUCUGAGACAUCAUACUGCAAUUUUCUGCUCUACGCAUACGGUCAUGGCUGAAACCAGGUUUCUCCAUGGCACUUAUUUCUGGGGGCACUUUCUGCAGUCCCGGAGCUUCAGUGGGAAAGGUACAACAAUAAUGAACAGCCUCUUCCAAGCAAAUGCUCUCCCCUGAAGCUGCAGCGGCUCAGCUCACAGACACGUGUGCUGAUUCUUCAGCUCGAGGCAGUGCUGGUAAGGCAGCAACGCAAGCCUGGAACAGUCUGAAUGCAGACUGCUCUGCACCAACUGCUGUGACUGCACAUCUCCAGUCCUCCACUCACUCAGCACAAUUAACUCCAACUCCUUCACCGCAUCGUUUUCAGUUAGAAGCACGCAAUUUAAUAUUUAAUUGUUAAUGAAGCAGCAAGCCUCAAAAUUAAGUCUGCCAGCUAAAUUUCAGCUCCUUCCUGAUGCAGGCCAAACCUGUGACUGCCGGUCUACUGAUGUAACCCACGCAACAGAGAUCCCACACCUGCCCUGAACCGGGCUCCGCUGCUCCUCUCUCCUGCAAUGCAGCAUUACUCACUGUAAUGAGUUUCUGACUAGAGGUGUUGCAUCCCGCUACAGCCUUCCUCAGCUGCUGCUCCUCUUGCUCAGCACCCUGUUAUGAAGAACAGGCUGUGUCCUGAGGAGAGCUGCUCUCGCUGAUGCCCAGCACGACUGUAGCAUGUGGGCGUCAGCGCGGGGACUCUCCCGAUGGCAUGUGGCCUUUCCACUUGAACCACCAACACCUGGGGAAAGCUGUGAGCUUGGUCAGCUCAGCGCUGUGGAAGCAAACACUAAGAUCAUGGAGCCAGCUUCCCUUAAAAAAAAAAAAAUAAUGAAAGAAGUGUAAAUCAAAGUUUCCACGUGCAAAUUUCUGUGUCAUUGCCUGUGACAUCCCCUUUUCUCAGCCCAUCAUCAUCUGUUGAUGGGAGACUUCACCUGCCACCACCUGUCCUCUCCUCCCCCUCCUCCAGGUUUCAUUUAUAACACGCUGCAUACCACAAGACACAGGUGAAACAAAGCUCUGGGCAGAACCAACCCCAACCUCCGGGCUUUGAGAGCAAAGCAGAGCUGCUCCCCCAUAACACUGCCCGGUCUGCUCCAUUUCCACCAUGGAAAGCGAAGGCAACGUUUGUGAGUGCUGUUCCCCAAAGCCCUGGGAGCGCAGGUUUUUGGGAGCGGAUGGGGAAACCCUUCUGAUGCAAAGCUGAAGAGAUGACAGAAGGGACCCAUGCAGACAGCAGACACAACCAUGAUGUGACGGGUUGGCACCACGCGCCGACUUUCCCAAUUUUUAAAACACGUCUGUUUUACAGGAGGGUUUGAAAAGCAGGCUGCAGGGCAGUUCUAUGGCACGGGUUUAAUUUCUGCUCCUCGUAUCUGAAAAACCCAGUCCCGGUGUGUCAGGAGAAGGUUAAUGAAAGAUUUAGCUGCGCUCACAACCACGUUAGUGUCGGUUUCGGAAGCUGCGAGUUAAUGCCUGAGAUCUUCGGGGGUUGCCCUCUUUGAAGUUCACUGAUCCAUAACCAAUGUCCAAUUAAUUUGCAGGAGCCUAACUAUAAUGACUAUUGGCCUUUUCCUACCCGUACAAAAACGCAGUGGGUAACAGCAGUGCUUUUUGCUUGGGGAUAUCCCCACAUAGAUGCACGCUUGCACACCUUCCAAACGCCCAGCACUAACAACGCGCCGUCUUCUGCACUUGGAGCAGUUUUAUGCUCGUGGGCACAGAAACACAGCGUUAAGAUUUACGAACCUUCUGCUGCAAAAAAAAAAAAACUUGGAGCCGCUUCAAGAUGCUCCCUUGCUACCAGAGACACACUCCGACUGCAUUUGGUCAAAUUCCUCUUUAUUUAGAGUUUCCAUGGAAGCCAAGGAAUAAGACGUUAAAUCUUGAGAAGAUUAAACAGGCCUUCAGAUAUAAUGCAAAACAGCUUAUUGCAACAUUCCCUCCAGAACAGAGACGAGAGAUUCUUCCACAAAAAAAAAGAAAAUAAGUCUGUAGAAACGUUCAAACCAAAUCAGGACACUCAGCCUUCCAACCACUGCACAAGGAUCGCUUCCUGCUGCACGCAGCUCCACCAGCUUCCAAGGCUCUUCCUCGCAGGAGAGAGCAGAAAUGUUUGCACAAUAAGAUGCCACUGUUUGACAAACAGUCUGUUGGAGGCAGCUAUUUCUAUGCAGCCUUCAGGAAGCAAGCUAUUUCAACCGCGAGGGCUUGCACAGAGACGAACAAUCAGACUCCUAAAUUAGGAUCUCAGCAGAUUCUUAGAACAAAAUGCACAGACCACACUGCUGAGCAGCGCCCAUCUUCCACGGAGAUGCUCCGGACACCACUGCAGCUGACAGAGCAGCACUUCAAAUAAAUAAUCACUCAUUUUCAGUUACUUA